GUGAACGCUGGCGGUAGGCCUAACGCAUGCACGUCGAACGGCAGCACAGUAAGAGCUUGCUCUUACGGGUGGCGAGUGGCGGACGGGUGAGGAAUACAUCGGAAUCUACUUUUUCGUGGGGGAUAACGUAGGGAAACUUACGCUAAUACCGCAUACGACCUACGGGUGAAAGCAGGGGAUCUUCGGACCUUGCGCGAUUGAAUGAGCCGAUGUCGGAUUAGCUAGUUGGCGGGGUAAAGGCCCACCAAGGCGACGAUCCGUAGCUGGUCUGAGAGGAUGAUCAGCCACACUGGAACUGAGACACGGUCCAGACUCCUACGGGAGGCAGCAGUGGGGAAUAUUGGACAAUGGGCGCAAGCCUGAUCCAGCCAUACCGCGUGGGUGAAGAAGGCCUUCGGGUUGUAAAGCCCUUUUGUUGGGAAAGAAAAGCAGCAGGUUAAUACCCCGCUGUUCUGACGGUACCCAAAGAAUAAGCACCGGCUAACUUCGUG
rnacentral:rRNA from 1 species